GCGGGGGUGGCAGAGCCAGGUCAAACAGGCAGAUUUGGACUUAAUGCGCGGGACUCAAGAUCCCGUCCCGAAGGGGUUCGUGGGUUCGAAUCCCACCCCCCGCACCA
rnacentral:tRNA from 1 species